AGAGUUUGAUCAUGGCUCAGGAUGAACGCUGGCGGCGUGCUUAACACAUGCAAGUCGAACGAAGCCAAGAGGAAGCUUGCUUCUUGAAGCUUAGUGGCGGACGGGUGAGUAACGCGUGAGGAACCUGCCCUUCAGUGGGGAAUAACGGCCGGAAACGACUGCUAAUACCGCAUAACGUCGGAGUGCCGCAUGACACACCGACCAAAGGAUUUAUUCGCUGAAGGAUGGCCUCGCGUCCGAUUAGGCAGUUGGUGAGGUAACGGCCCACCAAACCUACGAUCGGUAGCCGAACUGAGAGGUUGAUCGGCCACAUUGGGACUGAGACACGGCCCAGACUCCUACGGGAGGCAGCAGUGGGGAAUAUUGGGCAAUGGGCGAAAGCCCUGACCCAGCAACGCCGCGUGAAGGAAGACGGUCUUCGGAUUGUAAACUUCUUUGAUUGGGGAAGAACACAAUGACCUACCCAAAGAACAAGUCACGGCUAACUACGUGCCAGCCGCCGC
rnacentral:rRNA from 1 species